rnacentral:rRNA from 1 species
AACGAACGCUGGCGGCAUGCCUAACACAUGCAAGUCGAACGGGAUCCUGGCUUCGGUCAGGUGAGAGUGGCGGACGGGUGAGUAACGCGUGGGAACCUGCCCAGUGGUGGGGGAUAACUGCGGGAAACUGCAGCUAAUACCGCAUGAGCCCGAGAGGGGAAAGAUUUAUCGCCAUUGGAGGGGCCCGCGUUCGAUUAGGUAGUUGGUGGGGUAAUGGCCUACCAAGCCGACGAUCGAUAGCUGGUCUGAGAGGAUGAUCAGCCACACUGGGACUAAGAUACGGCCCAGACUCCUACGGGAGGCAGCAGUGGGGAAUAUUGGACAAUGGGGGCAACCUUGAUCCAGCAAUGCCGCGUGAGUGAUGAAGGCCUUCGGGUUGUAAAGCUCUCUUGCCAGGGACGAUGAUGACGGUACCUGGAGAAUAAGCCCCGGCUAACUUCGUGCCAGCCGCCGCCGUAACAC